rnacentral:rRNA from 1 species
UACCUGCAGCUCAAGUGGUGGCCGCUAUUAUUGGGCCUAAAACGUUCGUAGCCGGUUGAGUAAAUGCCUGGGUAAAUUGUGCCGCUUAACGGUACGAAUUCCGGGUAGACCACUCAGCUUGAGACCGGGAGAAGCUAGAGGUACUCCUGGGGUAGAGGUGAAAUUCUGUAAUCCGUGGGGGGACCACCAGUGGCGAAGGCGUCUAGCUAGAACGGGUCUGACGGUGGGGAACGAAACCCUGGGGCGCAAACCGGAUUAGAUACCCGGGUAGUCCAGGGCGCAAACGCUGCUUGCUUGAUGUUAGCUGGGCUCCGAGCUCAGCUAGUGUCGGAGAGAAGUUGUUAAGCAAGCUGCCUGGGAAUACGAUCGCAAGAUUGAAACUUAAAGGAAUUGGGCGGGGGAGCACAGCAACGGGUGGAGCGUGCGGUUU